UGACCUGCCCACUGAUAAAAAAUAUUUAACGGCCGCGGUAUUUAUGACCGUGCAAAGGUAGCAUAAUCACUAGUCUUUUAAUUGAAGGCUUGAAUGAAAGGUUUGACAAAAGGAAUACUGUCUAUUUAGUAAAAAUUGAAUUUAACUUUUAAGUGAGAAGGCUUAAAUACUUCAGAGGGACGAUAAGACCCUAUAAAGUUUAUAGGAGAAUAAUUUUUUACUAAAUAUUAAAAGUUAAAAUUUAUUUUUUUAUUGGGUUGGGGCAACAGAAGUAUAAUUGUUAUUAAUUGCUUUAAUAUUAUACAAAUAUAUUUGUUUAAAAGUUAAAUGAUCCUUUAAUUAUUUAAAGAUUAAGAGAUUAAGUUACUUUAGGGAUAACAGCGUAAUUUUUUUUGAGAGUUCCUAUCGAAAAAAGAGUUUGCGACCUCGAUGUUGAAUUAAAAUUUCUAUAUAGUGCAGUUGUUAUAUAAGAAGGUCUGUUCGACCUUUAAUUUUUUACAUGAUUUGAGUUCAGACCGGUGUGAG
rnacentral:rRNA from 1 species